UCGAGACGUGUGAAUGACUGAAAUUCUAAGAAACCAAUGUAAAUCCAUUUAUUCUUGGAAAUGCAUACGCCACAAGUAGUAUAACGGCGAAAAGAACGCUGGCUCAGCGUCUGCCACUGACCGUACCACUUCUACUGCAGCACGCGUUGGGAUCAGUACGGUGUAGUACGAGUAAGAGGUUGUCGGAGCAAGAAGCAAAUAAUAUAGAGUAUUGAGAAUUACGUCUCGAUCUAUGUGGCUGUACCUCGACAGUGAAAAGUCAUAUCUACGCGAAAUAAAAUCCAAUUUGAAAAGGAGGGGUGAAUAAUGUGUCACGACAUAUCACAAUAGCAAAUUCUGUUCUAUGAACUGUGGAGACUUCCGGAAAUAAUAAUUUACUAUUUUCGAACGAGAAACGAUAUGCAACCGUGUAAAGUGAUGUAACACACAAAUACGCAACAGAUGGAUAUUCAUCACGAAUGAAAUCAAUCACGAAGAAGAAGAAGCGAAGCUAACUGGAAUCGGUCAAAAGUGUGAAACGAGCUGGUCUAUUGUGACUUCUUACCCCGUUGUGUCGAAUGAAUUACGAUGGCAAGGCUUGGUGGGGUUGAAGCGAUGAAAGAGGGUGGAAGAAAGAUACGCAGGAGAAAUUGCGGCUCGAGAGUCAAACAAAAAAAAAAAAAAAAAGAGCGAAAAGAAGACAAUAGCUGGGAGAAUCGUUGAAGCAGAAGGCAUCCAUACUUAUCUUGAGAGUAAACGUUCCUUUUCGAGUGAGAUUGCACGUUAUUAUCGAUCUGUAGUUCGAUCUGCUUUUUUCAUCGUGUGACGGGAGGAAAUACACGACGUGAAAAAUACGUUACAUAAUUGUAAUUACACUUGUAAUGAUUCAUUGUACAGAUACGUAGAGAUAA